UCUGGAAUUAGGUAAUGGUGGUGUGU
rnacentral:piRNA from 1 species